rnacentral:rRNA from 1 species
AACGAACGCUGGCGGCGCGCCUAAUACAUGCAAGUCGAGCGAGAAGGUGUAGCAAUACACUUGUAAAGCGGCGAACGGGUGAGGAAUGCAUGGGUAACCUACCCUCGAGUGGGGAAUAACUAGCCGAAAGGUUAGCUAAUACCGCAUACGUUUCCGGAACUUCGGUUUCGGAAAGAAAGCAAUACCGUGGGUAUUGCGCUCCUGGAUGGGCUCAUGUCCUAUCAGCUUGUUGGUGAGGUAACGCUCACCAAGGCUUCGACGGGUAGCUGGUCUGAGAGGACGAUCAGCCACACUGGCACUGCGACACGGGCCAGACUCCUACGGGAGCAGCAGUAAGGAAUAUUGCGCAAUGGACGAAAGUCUGACGCAGCGACGCCGCGU